UAGCGGAUAGUUUCUUCCCGAU
rnacentral:siRNA from 1 species